AUAGCCGUUCAAUCAAACAGCUAGCCCUUUGACUGAACAACGCCAUUCAAUCACACGUCUAGCUUUUUAAUUGAAUAUUUCAGUCACUCAAAACCUUCAACACUUGAUUCAAAAGCAGCCGUUUGAUUAAAUUAGUUUAGCGCUCACCACCCCGGCGCUAGGUGCGUUUUGUUUACAAUAUGGCGCCUACUAGCCGGUAUUUUGUGAUUGUAUUAAGAUAUUUUUCGUAAAUAUACAUUACAAGUAUUAUUA